UAAAGGUGCCGAUAACGAUACCAGUGACGAUAAUGAUAACAACGAUAACGAUAACAACGAUAUUGGUAACGAUAACAACGAUAACGAUACCGUUGUUAUCGUUAUCAUUGUUAUCGUUAUCGUCACUGUUAUCGUUAUCUUUG